rnacentral:rRNA from 1 species
UACAGAGGGGGCAAGCGUUAUUCGGAAUUAUUGGGCGUAAAGGGCGCGUAGGCGGCCUGACAAGUGGAAGGUGAAAUCCCUCGGCUUAACCGAGGAACUGCCCUCCAAACUGUUUGGCUUGAGUCCGGGAGAGGUGAGUGGAAUUCCCAGUGUAGCGGUGAAAUGCGUAGAUAUUGGGAGGAACACCAGUGGCGAAGGCAGCUCGCUGGGACGUUACUGACGCUGAGACGCGAAAGCGUGGGGAGCAAACAGG